UACGGAGGGUGCGAGCGUUAAUCGGAAUUACUGGGCGUAAAGCGCGCGUAGGCGGUUUGAUUAGUCGGGUGUGAAAGCCCGCAGCUCAACUGCGGAACUGCCUUCGAUACUGCCGAGCUUGAGGGCGGGAGGGGUGAUUGGAACUCCAGGUGUAGCGGUGAAAUGCGUAGAUAUCUGGAGGAACACCGGAGGCGAAGGCGAAUCACUGGACCGCAUCUGACGCUGAGGCGCGAAAGCUAGGGGAGCAAACAGG
rnacentral:rRNA from 1 species